rnacentral:scRNA from 1 species
CACCAAACACCUCAGCCUCGACGCACACCAACG